GCGAGGCUCGCGAGGGCGCGGUCCGAGUCCGAGGAGGACGAGGAGGACGAGGACGAGGAGACGCUGGGGCGCGAGCCGCAGCACAGGGCGCGGCACCGCCGCGUCGACGGGUUCGUCGUCGUCGUCGUCGUCGUGGUUGGGUUCGGUAGGGUUUUCGUGCUCUUCUUCUUCUUCUUCCUCUUCCUCCUCAGCGUGAAAAUUUCCAUCUCACUGUGUUUCCCUCUCUCUCUUUCUCUCUCUUUUUCUUUUUUUUUUUUGGUUUUUUUUUAUAUUUUUAUUUUGGUUUUGUGAGGGUAAGGGGAGGUGUCGCAGGGAGUGCGCACCAUAUGCUCGACGAAAUGCUCGCGUGCAAAAGUGUGCUCUGCCGCAGCCUUUCGGUUUCAG
rnacentral:lncRNA from 1 species